UCGAGUGGCGAACGGGUGAGUAACACGUGGGUGAUCUGCCCUGCACUUCGGGAUAAGCUUGGGAAACUGGGUCUAAUACCGGAUAGGAACCAUCUUUAGUGUGGUGGUUGGAAAGUUUUUUCGGUGUAUGAUGAGCUCGCGGCCUAUCAGCUUGUUGGUGGGGUAAUGGCCUACCAAGGCGGCGACGGGUAGCCGGCCUGAGAGGGUGUACGGCCACAUUGGGACUGAGAUACGGCCCAGACUCCUACGGGAGGCAGCAGUGGGGAAUAUUGCACAAUGGGCGCAAGCCUGAUGCAGCGACGCCGCGUGGGGGAUGAAGGCCUUCGGGUUGUAAACUCCUUUCGCUAGGGACGAAGCUUUUUGUGACGGUACCUAGAUAAGAAGCACCGGCUAACUACGUGCCAGCAGCCGCGGUAAUACGUAGGGUGCGAGCGUUGUCCGGAAUUACUGGGCGUAAAGGGCUCGUAGGUGGUUUGUCGCGUCGUCUGUGAAAUUCUGGGGCUUAACUCCGGGCGUGCAGGCGAUACGGGCAUAACUUGAGUGCUGUAGGGGUAACUGGAAUUCCUGGUGUAGCGGUGAAAUGCGCAGAUAUCAGGAGGAACACCGAUGGCGAAGGCAGGUUACUGGGCAGUUACUGACGCUGAGGAGCGAAA
rnacentral:rRNA from 1 species